GGGCUUUAGGUGUUGUCGAGCUUGUUUUCGAGUCUAAUGGUAUUAUUUUAAGCGAUUGUCACUAUUGUCCAUAUUUCUUGAUGAAUAUAAUCUCUGUAGGUCUUUUGAUCAAAGAUAGUUAUAGUUUAUCAAUAAAGAAUGAUUAUUGUGAUAUCAUUAUGAAAGAUGUUAUAAUAAUGCAAGGAUAAUUAAGAAAUGGCAUCUAUGUAUUGUCACAGCCUAUGAGUGUACUGUACACUCCAAAUAAAUAUCCUAAGUUAGAUAAUGUCACAGACGUCUACCUUUAAUAUUGCAG
rnacentral:lncRNA from 1 species